GGGUCCGUUGUAUAGCUUGGUCUAGUAAGCAAAGCCUAGAACUGCGUGUGACCCCGGUUCAAAUCCGGGCGGGCCCA
rnacentral:tRNA from 1 species